rnacentral:lncRNA from 1 species
UAGUAUUCUAACAAAAGCGCCGGUUGAAAGCCUUGCAGUUGAGGUAAAUAUUAAGAAGUUGGUAAGCAUCUGGAGAAUCAAGGCUGGAUGAGGGAGGAACGCAGAAACGGAUCUUGUUCAACAUGAAACUCAUUUCUAUACGUUUGUCACAGACUUCUAUUCCUUGAGAGACAGCAGUCCGCUUGCACCCCAGAUUUCCUGUGCCUUUGAAUAUGAAGGAAACACGGGAAUUCUGGUAACAUCUAGAUUGCCGCAACAGAGAGUCAGAGGCCAACGGGGACCAAAUGCUCUGCUUCGAAAGUAGAGGCGCCGGCGCAGUGUUUG